AGCGAACGUUUGCGGCGGGCCUAACACAUGCAAGUCGAACGCACUAGCAAUAGUGAGUGGCGCACGGGUGCGUAACACGUGGGUAAUCAACCCUUCAGCCUGGGAUAACGACUCGAAAGGGUCGCUAAUACCGGAUACGGCGCGAGAGGCUUCGGCUUCUCACGAGAAAGCCACGCAAGGGGCACUGAAGGACGAGCCUGCGGCCCAUCAGCUAGUUGGUGAGGUAAGAGCUCACCAAGGCUAAGACGGGUAGCUGGUCUGAGAGGAUGAUCAGCCACACUGGAACUGAGACACGGUCCAGACUCCUACGGGAGGCAGCAGUGGGGAAUAUUGCGCAAUGGGCGAAAGCCUGACGCAGCCACGCCGCGUGAGCGAUGAAGGCCUUGGUCGUAAGCUCUGUGGGAGGAGACGAAGAAAGACCUGUGAAGAGCAGG
rnacentral:rRNA from 1 species